rnacentral:rRNA from 1 species
UACGGGAGGCAGCAGUGGGGAAUAUUGGACAAUGGGCGCAAGCCUGAUCCAGCCAUGCCGCGUGAGUGAUGAAGGCCCUAGGGUUGUAAAGCUCUUUCACCGGUGAAGAUAAUGACGGUAACCGGAGAAGAAGCCCCGGCUAACUUCGUGCCAGCAGCC